GAGGGGCUCGAGCCCAGGACCCUGGGAUCACGACCUGAGCUGAAGGCGGAUGCUUAACGACGGAGCCACCGGCGCCACCUUCUAACAACUUUUUAGUAGUCAUUUGAAAAAAGUGAUAACACAGAAGUGGAAAGAAGAAAAUGAUUAUUUCUUUUGCUUCUCAAGUCACCCGAUUACUAAUGGGCUGUGUGGGGGAUCAGAUUGGACGUUUCCUGUUCCACACCGAUUUCCUCACGCUGCUGUAUAGUGACUGCUGGAAACACAGCUUAGCAGAGAUAGGCCAUCACUGAAAGGAAUGUGGCAAGGAGUGUCUAACAUUGACACUCGGAACAGCCCUGAGUCGGUGCAGUGUUCAACAGAUGUUGAGUAUCCUGCGUUUCCUUUGGGGAAUUUCAAAUAUCUCACAGCACUUCUGUGAAUUUACAUGGAACACUGGGGGUGAUUUGGUGGACAGUGUGGGGACCACAGAACUAGACAUAUUGGUUUCUGAUUAUAGAACCGAGAUCAUCCUUUGCUGCUAAGUCCAAAGCCAUCUCUGAGUACAUAGUAACAUUUUAUGUGAGGAUUCCAGGAAACAACGUUGCCACUCUUUCUGAAAACUCUAUCCUAUCUGCCCUUAAAUCCAUAGGGAUGCCUCAGAGUGCUAACCCAGUCUGACUACUUUGGAUAGAGGAGAGAGGAGGAAAAGCGGGAGGAAUGCAUCCAGAUCUUCAGCAAUAGCAUGAAAGCAUGCACUGUUGAAUAAAGAGGAAGUGAGCAUGCAAUAUGCAAUAGUGAUUUGGAGCCCUUGAUGAAGAAAUGAAGGCUAGAUUCUGAAGGGUUGGUUGUUGUCAGAACCUGCAGUUAAGCUGGCUAAGCCUUGUGGUAUUGCCCUUUGUAAUCAGGAACAUCCUUUCAGAAGGCAAUUGUAGAACACGGGGAGAAGAAAUUUAACACCCGCUCUACCAGCAUAUUUCUUUGGUUGCUCUCAUCUAUUUCUUUAGCUGGAUGCCAAUCUUGGUUGGUUGAGACACCGAUGAAACCAGUUCCUGUGGCAACUGGAGAUAUCCUUACAUCAUCCUUGUGAUGGCUGGACCCAGGAAAUCAGCAGGGGAACCCACAGUACCACACAGAGCUGGAAAUGCUCCUGGAGGUCACCCAGCUCCCUACGUUCAUAUUACGGGAAGAAAAAUGCAGGUGCAGAAAUGACAAGUGGCUCACCCAGGCUGGCCCAGCAGGUCAAUGCCAGAAUUGGGGUUGGCCUCAGAUCUUCCAAACCCGGCUAGGAGUCUGGGGCUGCCUUACGCCCUUCACCUCCCAGUGCCAAAAUCACCCCCCAAUUCCUACUAAGAGAUGGGGAAAUUGAGGUCAACAGAGAUCUCAGAUCUGGAAUGAAGCUGAGGAGUGGAACACUUUGAAUACUAAGCUAAAGGAUCUCAGCUCUGCAGUGCAGGCCAGUGAUGUUUCAACAUUUCCUCUUUGAAUGCUUAUUCAUUAACCCACUUCCUACAUGCCACGUGACCAGAUGUCCCAAGAGGAGUUCCUUUGGGAUGAAGCUAACUCUCAUCCUCUGUAUACCAUUGCAAAAUAGUGCUAUUGAGGUGGUGACAAGAAGCAUGUGGAGCAAUCACCUAGAUGAGUGCCAAGGAUCCAGAAGCUUUAGCUUCUCAUCCUGCUGUCAACAUGUUCUGCUAGCCCAGACUGAAUCCUGAGCUCUCCUGCAGUUAAACAAGAAGCAUUCAUCCUCAGAACCAGUGGCUCUGCUCCCUCCUCCCACCACGAACUUGAAGCAAUAAAUGACCAGAGGAUACUGGAAUGCAAGGUGCCACAACCUUGCAUGACCCAGAUAUUCAUUCACUGUUUUUUCCUCCUAAUUGCUGAGCACUUCCCAUGCACUGGGUGCUGAGGAUAAACAGUGAACGAGGUAUAAUUCUUUAGCCAUGAGAAAGCAGUGACGGAGAACAGACAACAAUGAUCAGAUCAGUAACUAACAUUUACUGAGUGCCUGGGAUGGAGUAGACACUGUGCUAUCUGCUCUCCAUGUACUAAAUUAAUUCUCCUAACAAUCAGUGAAGGCUGUGCAAUUAACCUCAGUGUCCAAAGAAGAAGCACAUCCAGCCACAAGUGAGGAGCCAGGAUUUGAACCUAGGUGGCUGGACUUGGAAGCUUGCGCUCACCACUAGGAGAGGAAGAGAAGAGGCACAGAGACAGGCGAACGCUGAGAAAAGAAGCCCCGUGCAGCCCGACAUGCAGGGAGAUGCCGUGUGCCAAGGCAGAGGUUACGGGGACGCAUCCAGGAGCCAAGGAGCACCAGGACCGCCGACAACACCAGGAGCAGGGAAAAAGGCAAGGGACAGAUUCUCCCCUACAGACUCUAGAGAGAAUGCAGUCCCAAAGACUCCUUGAUCUUGGACUUCUGGCCUCCAGAAGAAUAAUGCGAGAGAAUAAAUUUCUGCUGCUUUAAGCCACCCGGUUCGUGGUGCUUUGUUGCAGGAGCCCUAGGUGGAGGGGCGAGCGGAGCAGACACGUGCAGGUAACUGUGAGCUAGAACUCUCACGUUCUGAGCACUCUUCAUCUAUCCACCCAUUUAAUCCUCCCAAGACCCACUGAGGAGCAACCCUUAUGUUCCCAUUUUCCAAAUAAGGACCCGAGGCGCAGAGAACCUAAGCAACUCGCUGAAUGUCACGGUCAAUGGAAUUGAAACCCUGGCACCCCCAAGCCCGUGGUAUUUGCACUCACCCUGCGUGCACUCACCCAAGGCUGACACAGUGCCUCUCCUCUGUGCUAUAGACAGCAGGGUGCAGAGAUGAGCACGCUUUGGUUCCCCCAACCCCACAGCCCUCACUGUCUUUGUGAUCCAAUCUAGCUGACAUCCCCUCCCUCCCCCGCCCCAACACACACACUGGAGAACUGCUCUGAAACGUGGCUGGUCUGAGCUCACGUGUGCUGUGUGUGUCAAAUACACACCGGGUUUACAACACCCAAUACAAAAAGAAUGCAAAAUGUAUCAUGAAUAAUUUUUAAUAUUGACUGCAUGUUGAAGUGACCAUGUUUUGAAUA